rnacentral:tRNA from 1 species
GGAGUUGUAGCUCAGUGGUGGAGUGCUCACCUAGCAUGUGUGGGGCACUGGGUUCAAGCCUCAGCACCA